UGAUUAAAGGAGAUUGACUGAAAAGAAGAGGCAAUCUCUCUAAUGUCUUGAAUUAUCUUCAAUCAUCUCUAGGGUGGUGAGGGCACACUGCGGACACAGUCAAUGACAAGUUUGGAGUCAACCUCCACUUGAAUUCUCCAAAAGCCGCCUUGUUGAGCACUGAGUAAGCUGUCGCAACGUGCCAAAAAUUCAGUUGUAGGAACAGUUGAUGUUCCUGUUCUUUUAUUGGCUGCAAUUAGGGGUAUACAAGAGUUUUCGAUUACAAAAUCCCUAGCGGCCGAGUUCCUGAUAACUGAGCCAUCAUCAAAGUUGAUCUUGAAUGAGCAAUCAAAGUAUGUUUUAGUUUUACAUCUUUAAAUGUUGUUGAUAUCGGUACGUGAUUCUAAAAGCCUGCGUAUUUUUUGUUCCGGAAAAAAAAAAAAAAAUUAGAGAGAGAGAGAGGUCUGCCUAUUGCUGGUGUUAUUCAAAACUGUAAAAGAAUAAAGAAACAAAGCUGAACUGAUUUUGUUAAACUUUCUUCAAAAUGUUCUCUAAAGUAUCCGAUUCUCGGUGAGUUCAUUGUUCACUAAAAUUGUUCCACAACCAAAGUACAAGUCGAAGUACUUUCAUGACACGUUUACUUACUCACUCUCUCUUCUCUGUCUUCCCCCACCUGACCAUCUUCGUUGUCCGGUACUCGAUCAGGUUCUGCCAUUUUACUAAUGCAAAACCUUUAUGCAUGUGUUCUGUAAUGGAGGAUUGGAAUCAGAAGCAAAAGAAUUGGUACUCUGCAGACUUUUGGUCACCUUUGUUGAUUGGAAUUCUUGGUGGGUUUUCUUAUGCGUAGUUAAUUCAGGUUCCAGUGUUUCAGCUUUGUUGAUUGGAAUUAUGUCAGCUAUGUAUUGAUCUGCCAUUGAAGUAUGGAUGGUGGAGAGUGGAUACUAGCAAGCAGAUUAAGACCCAAUUUGCAGGACACUAUUUCACGUUGCAUUGUUUAGGUCUAUCCCGUUUCAUGGACUGCAAUUUACAUGCCUUUGGACAAUGUGGGAAUGUGGAAUGUGAGAUCUGAGAAUUGGGCCCGACAGUACUUAGGCCAGCAGUUCUAUCUUUGUGUAUACUUCUGUAUAAUCACAUUUCACAUUUUCACCUAUUUAAUUCUAAGUACACUAAGCAGCUUUUGACAGAAGAUGAAACUUAAGCAUUCUCGAGUUUCCAAUCACUCUAAGCAUCGCCGAUUCUGGUGUUUACUAACACACAGCCACACAUCUCCUUAUACUUGCUUUAUCAGAAGAUAACAAUUACAUUUGGACUUUGAAUUUUUGUGGCAAAAUAUUAGCACUUAUUUGAUUCAGUAGCAUGUGUUUUUGAUUAAUGUUGACACUGUUCUUGGAGGUUUGUUGACUACUCAGCAUUUGAUGACCAUGGUUUCUACUGUCUUUGGCAGAAUCAGAAAAUGGGAAAAUGGUUGUAUCUAGGUGGACCAGUCUACUGUUGCAAUCAGAGAAGCUUUUGGGAAGUUUGAUGAUGUGUGUGAACCUGGUUGUCAUUGUUUGCCUUGAUGUUUGGGUAGUGCGGUAGCUGGUCAUCUCUUUCUACGGGUGCAGUAAUUGGAUGUUCCUGAUCAUGUUUGCUCAUUACAUAGGAUGAUAGGAUUACAUAGUAUAUGAGACCAUAAAGAAAUUGAAGGCAUUCAUGAAUAAUUCCCCUCCUCCAUUCAACACAUUCACUACUAGACAUUGACAUCUUAAUGCGUUGCAAUCUGGACAUUGAUUGAUCUUUAAGCUUCGCAGCAGCUAUACAAUCUGAAUUGACUACCAGUACCUAGAAAGUAAAGACCACUCAAGUUCUGAUCGAAACUCAGAGCGAUAAAAACGAAAGUUCUACCUACCCACAGCUACAACUAUUGGCACUUCAAAAGGCUUCUAUUCUACCAGUGCUUAAAUUGUUUACUCUAAUUUUGAAGUUUCUAGCAUCUCUAUUUUACUUAGAGUUGCUUAAAUUGUUAGUUUUUAUGCUUACUCAAAAUGACAUUUGGAGUUAUUUUAGGCUUUGAAUAAUUUUGUGCUUCACAGUUGGCAAAUA